rnacentral:siRNA from 1 species
CGGUAUGAAAGGACACUGGUAC